GGCAACUUUUCCUCAUUGCUGAGAAGCUUAUUGACAACUUGAUUAAGCUCUUUUGGACUAGCGUUUUCAGGGAGGUACAAGGCAGCACCCAACGGAUUCCCUUCUGGGUCAGCCAACUGACAUAUGACACUGUUGGUUGCUUCUCUCUCUGCCGCCGCCGCAGCUUCCACUUCCACUUCCAUCGUUUCUGCCAUUAAUCUCCGCUUACAAAUUUUUGGUUAAGACUACUAUUGACUCUUUAAGAGGAAAAACAACAGAGGUUUUAGUAGGGUUUUGAAUAUGUU
rnacentral:misc_RNA from 1 species